GCAACAGUGAUGAGGGGGUAGGGGCAUUUUCCUUGAAUGAGAAAUAAAUUCCUCAUCCAUCCUUCUUUUCUUUUUUUUUUGGACGGUGCUCGAGGCACCAUUUUCUUGUACAUAUUUUUAAUGAAAGACUAAGUUAUUUCCUCUCAUGUGUCAUUUGUGCAUGUCAUUACUGAUUGGUUGUUUCUUAUCAGGCCAAUCAAAGGCCAUCUUAUUUUGAUUUAAAGCUGAUC
rnacentral:lncRNA from 1 species